rnacentral:rRNA from 1 species
UACGGAGGAUGCAAGCGUUAUCCGGAAUGAUUGGGCGUAAAGCGUCCGCAGGUGGCUGUGUAAGUCUGCUGUCAAAGAGCAAAGCUCAACUUUGUAAAGGCAGUGGAAACUACACGGCUAGAGUGCGUUCGGGGCAGAGGGAAUUCCUGGUGUAGCGGUGAAAUGCGUAGAGAUCAGGAAGAAUACCGGUGGCGAAGGCGCUCUGCUAGGCCGCAACUGACACUGAGGGACGAAAGCUAGGGGAGCGAAUGGG